AGAGUUUGAUCAUGGCUCAGAGUGAACGCUGGCGGCGUGCCUAACACAUGCAAGUCGAGCGAGUCCUGCAGCACACCGCAGGAUGAGCGGCAGACGGGUGAGUAAUACGUAGGGAACCUGCCCUGAAAUGGGGAAUACCCUCGAGAAAUCGAGGCUAAUACCGCAUAAGACCACAACCUGUAAUCAGGAAGGGGUCAAAGGCCCGCAAGGGUCGUUUUGGGAUGGUCCUGCGUCCUAUCAGCUAGUUGGUGAGGUAACGGCCCACCAAGGCUAUGACGGGUAUCCGGCCUGAAAGGGCGAUCGGACACACUGGAACUGAGACACGGUCCAGACUCCUACGGGAGGCAGCAGUGGGGAAUUUUGGACAAUGGGCGAAAGCCUGAUCCAGCGACGCCGCGUGGAGGAUGAAGGUCUUCGGAUUGUAAACUCCUUUUGGAGGGGACGAAAACUGACGGUACCCUCAGAAAAAGCCACGGCUAACUACGUGCCAGCAGCCGCGGUAAUACGUAGGUGGCGAGCGUUACUCGGAAUUACUAGGCGUAAAGCGCAUGUAGGUGGUUGGAUAAGUCUGUAGUGAAAUUUCCCGGCUCAACUGGGAAGGGUCUACAGAAACUAUCUGGCUUGAGUGUGGCAGGGGGAGACGGAAUUCCCGGUGUAGCGGUGAAAUGCGUAGAUGUCGGGAGGAACACCAAUGGCGAAAGCAGUCUCCUGGGCCAAUACUGACGCUGAGAUGCGAAAGCUAGGGGAGCAAACAGGAUUAGAUACCCUGGUAGUCCUAGCUGUAAACGAUGUUCACUAGAUGUGGGAGGUAUCGACCCCUUCCGCGUCGACGCUAACGCAUUAAGUGAACCGCCUGGGGAGUACGGCCGCAAGGUUGAACUCAAAGGAAUUGACGG
rnacentral:rRNA from 1 species